GAACGAUGUUAUGAUGAUUGGUAAAACUGACUGAAGAGAAUACAGACAAUACUCAAUACGGAAGGUGCAUAUGAAUAGACGGAUCUGAAGGAGGAUUUGAUACAUAUGCAGGAGCUUGUAAUCUUGGGGCACAGAUGUGGAUUUUUAGCAGCCUGGAAAAAGAAGAAAGAAAAAAAACCGAGUUGAGGCAGAAUUCAUAAAAUCUCACCUAGGAUGCAAAUCCUCUCCAAUCACACCCCAUUCCAAAAGCUGGUACUUUUUUACGCCUCAGAUGAAGAAAAGCUCUUUUCAUGAACACACUUGACAUGAUGAGCCAAUUAGUGUCAAGUGGUUCUUCCUGGUGUUAUUACCAAAGGACGGCUCUGGAGAUGCAGGUGUGUGUGUGCGCCUAUGAAGACCAAUAAAGACAAAUCACUGCAGCUCAUCAUUAAACAUGAGCGUAGCUCCUCCGAUGGAAGAAGUUUUAUCUGUGCGCAUUAACAACGCAACCGCCGAUCCCGAAGAGGCCACUUCAGUGAAGGGCUUUUGAAGACAUCAUUCUCAAGUCAGCUGGCUCCCUUAUUGGAUGCACGGUGUUUCGUUUCCAUGUGAACAAUCAGUUUGACUGACGGCUGUGAGUGAUGUCUUCAGUUAAUCGCUCCAGUGGUGUGAAAAGGUCAUAAAUCACCCAAUUAUGUUGCCCCGCUUUAUGAAUAGAUAUUUUUGGGGGAAUAUUUAAAAUGCCUCCGAGGCAUAUCAACUUAGUCAACCCCAUAUUUAUUGAGAGGGAUUUUGGGGGCGGCUGCUUGUGCCAGAAAUAACUGAUAAGCUGAAUACAUUUUCAGAGUCUCAAUCACUGGAAUGUCACAGUGUUACUUGGUUUGAAAGUUGUGACUGCACUCAAGGUCGGGAUUUGUGAUUUAUGACCGUUUUUACAUGUUUUCAUGUACAGAGAGAAAAUAAAAAUAAUUAUCCAGGGAAGUCAGAAUAAAAUAGAAAUUGCUGGAAGAACACUUUUAAAAAAAUAAAAAGCCAUAAACACAUUGUUUUACAGCAGAUGUAUUUAUUUAAAAC
ensembl:lncRNA